GAAAAUUUAGAAAUAUUUGUGCCUUGCAAGGAUGAACUUUAUUAUCUGUUUAUGUCUCAUUGUUGUGCUCUAACCUUUUGCUUACUAUCACAUGAAAGACACAUACAACAAAAAGGGUGGUUGGGGUUUGGAUACAAAAAGAGAAGCUGAAUUUAAAUGCAUCGAAGUGUAGAAUUACCUUUCUGAUCCUCCAUUAAAGCUGUGCAGAGAGAGAUACACAAACUACCACAAAAGAUAUUUCCGGAGUAGGAGUUUGCUUCUUGUGGAUUUUAUGCCUGUGAAGAAUGUCACUAAUUUUUGUUUUUGUACCACGGAGAAUGCUGAAGAAAACUUUUAAUUUUGAUUUGUGUUAUUUUGAAUUAUGAAUAACAUUAUGUAUUUAAACAUUAUAUAUGUAUUAUGGAACAUUAUGUACUGGGUUAAAUUUGUUAAUGUAUCGUUAUGAAUGCAAGAAUAUGUUUAUUAUCGAGAAAUUAUUAUUUCUA